UACGUAGGGUGCGAGCGUUGUCCGGAAUUACUGGGCGUAAAGAGCUCGUAGGUGGUUUGUCGCGUUGUUCGUGAAAACUCACAGCUUAACUGUGGGCGUGCGGGCGAUACGGGCAGACUGGAGUACUGCAGGGGAGACUGGAAUUCCUGGUGUAGCGGUGGAAUGCGCCAGAUAUCAGGAGGAACACCGGUGGCGAAGGCGGGUCUCUGGGCAGUAACUGACGCUGAGGAGCGAAAGCGUGGGGAGCGAACAGG
rnacentral:rRNA from 1 species